CAGCAGCCGCGGUAAAACGUAGGUGGCAAGCGUUGUCCGGAAUUAUUGGGCGUAAAAGGCGCGCAGGCGGUUUCUUAAGUCUGAUGUGAAAGCCCCCGGCUCAACCGGGGAGGGUCAUUGGAAACUGGGAAACUUGAGUGCAGAAGAGGAGAGUGGAAUUCCACGUGUAGCGGUGAAAUGCGUAGAGAUGUGGAGGAACACCAGUGGCGAAGGCGACUCUCUGGUCUGUAACUGACGCUGAGGAGCGAAGGCGUGGGGAGCGAACAGGAUUAGAUACCCCUGUAGUCCCUGUCUCUUAUAC
rnacentral:rRNA from 1 species